rnacentral:rRNA from 1 species
UACGGAGGGGGCUAGCGUUGUUCGGAAUUACUGGGCGUAAAGCGCACGUAGGCGGCUUUGUAAGUUAGAGGUGAAAGCCUGGAGCUCAACUCCAGAAUUGCCUUUAAGACUGCAUCGCUUGAAUCCAGGAGAGGUGAGUGGAAUUCCGAGUGUAGAGGUGAAAUUCGUAGAUAUUCGGAAGAACACCAGUGGCGAAGGCGGCUCACUGGACUGGUAUUGACACUGAGGGAUGAAAGUUUGGGGAGCAAAACGG